CUAAAAGCAGUAAUAAGGAACAAGUAAGUAAUUAUGAAUUCUACAGAAAAUUACCGGUUGAUGAGAGGUUUUAGAUAUAAUUAAUUACCGAAUACAUCCUUUAGCUUUGUACUGAACAAUUAUAAUUAAUUUAGUAGGCUACAACGGAUUAGUGCUCGUUAUUGCACUGAAGUGUUGAUUGACACUUGUUGAGACAUUCUUAGUGAUAAGAAUGUAAAAAAAGGUGGUACCGCGAAUUAUCUCUCGUCCUUUUA
rnacentral:ncRNA from 1 species